AUAAGGUAUACAGCAAUAGGAGGUUUUAUCGAUAUUGUCCACUUUUAUUUAUUUAUUUAUUCAUUUAUUUAUAUUAUUCCAACCAACACUUUUCCAUCUCUUUCACAAUCUUUAACAAAAAGCUAGAUGGACUGAUCCUCUUGCAAUUAUUUUGCAAUUUUUUUCUACCAUAUCCUGCUCUGUUAUAUAUGCCAUUUAUUUAAAAAAAAGAUUGUAUUAACACUUGUGAAAGUAAACUGGGCGCUUUCCCUGAUUUAUAUUCAAUUCUUAAUUAUGUGAAUGAGCGUGUAUAAAGAAGCUCUGCAGCAUGUUAAUGUUAAUAAGCUGGUCGUUGUGGAUUUGUCUUGGUAUGGCUGUGAGGAAUAUAAGUCUCGGGACUUGAUCUCUCCACAUCCACCAGGAAUGCGACGGACGCGCUGCUGCGUCUCACGGGUCCCGCAGGGAUGUGUUCCCUGUACAGCACGUUAGAGAUAUCUGCCAGGUCCAGCAGCUCGCAGUAACCGCAUCUGUUAUCUGUUACCACACCGUAGCUGAUCAGAGUGCCAUUUUCAUCAAACGGUAAUAAUACGUGGACACUGAAAGUUGCCUUCCACUCAUCCCUCCAACCCGGUAAAACUGCGGAUAAUCCAUCCCUUUAUCUCCCUUCAAGAUUCCUCUCUGGGUCAGACUCUGGACCGGAGUCAGGUCGUGGCUCAGCUUGUAGGCUACAACUUCUCGUCGGUGGCAUCCUACACGGUGUUGGUGGCCACGGCGAAGUGGCAGACGCCUCCAUCAAAAAUAAAACCUCCAUCUUCCUCCAGGUACCAACCAAGAGAAUAAAAAUCAGAUCAGGCAGCUGCAUCAUCUUCUUGCAGCGGUGACACCAAAACGCUUAUACUUUGACGGCCUGCAUGCACUCCGCCACAGUGUCACUGGAGUCGUGCGUAAAAACGCAGUGCGCGCCAGUUGCAAAGAGAAGUGCUGAAAGUGGGAGGGAGAGCCCGAUGAAAGCGAAAACUAUCAGACAUUUUAAUUAUAGGAUAUAACUAUUUUGCAGCAUUGCUGUUUUUACCCUGCUGCAUUUGUCCCUCUUGUUUUACGUUUUCAAACAAAGUCUAUGCAGGACAUGUGUAUGCAGUUAUGGGCUAUGUGUGCGCCUCCGGACAAAUUCAUCUACUAUACGUGAAUAAAUAUUGAUUCUCAAUAAGACAGCAGGCAGUUCGGAUUGUCCUGCUCUAUGACCAAUCCACAUAUAUGAACGGUCCCUGGGAAUUUGACAAUCGUUUGCAUGGCAUAGCCUAUUUUGCCCAUCCAGCCGGUUAUUGAAAACCCCCCGUUUUGGACAGUGAUUCUGUUUCAAUUACACAAAACUCAGGGGAAAAACAGUGAAUGCCCUUUCCCCACGUCCUUCAACAGAUGGGACUUUAGACAUUGUCUGGUGUAAAGUGGUGCGUCCAGCUGAUUUUAGAGACAGACUCCUGACAUAAAGGGGUAAACUGUAUAAUGCUCUAAGAAGUUUUCACUAUCUCAUGGCCAAUAGGGCCUUGUCCACUGACUCCUUAUUUUGAGACCCUACCAUCUCUACCUUUUUGCAGGUAGAAACUAGGCUACUACAGAUAUCUGUUGACAUCUGAGUGACAUCUAGCGUUCACUUUGUGAAUUUCUUUCUUCUAGUUGAUGCACGCAGCGAAUAUGUUGUUGACGAAACAGGGAGGCACCGUGGAUGGAAAGUUUUUGCAGAAAGCUAUGUCUAUUGGGUCUCACGUCAGUGUUUAUGGCACAACUGGGGCAACAGUUCUGCACCAUGGUGUCUUAAGCAAGAUUGGCCUGCCGCUGGAUGAAGCUGUUGGACUUUACUCAAUACCCUCUACAGGUGAGCGUAAAUCUCACUGAGGGUAGCCAUAGCAACACAGGACACCACAGAGGUUUGUCACCUCCAGUAUGACAGCUACACAAACUUGUGGAUAAUGCACAUGAAUAGAACAGGAGAAUCACAGAUGGAUUAGAUACUGGUGCUUACAGCUGACAGUGUUCGCCAAAUGAUUCGUUCCUUUUUGGAAAAGAUGACGGCAGAACAGUGGAGGCUGUUGAAAUCAGGUUCUCCUGAUGAUGCCACAAAGGUCCUGUUGGCAGAGGAAUUGGAAUUCGUAAUAUCCAUUUCAAGUGCAGUACUGACAGGUCUACAGAACACACAUGUGGUCGUCUCUGAGGAGAACAUUCACGCCAGCCUGGGUGACACUGUCCAUCAGAGUUUCGCUCAGGCUCUAGAGAUUCAGGGUGAAGUCCGCCGUGUGAGCUCAGAACGCUUGACAAACCUGAUCAUGGAAAAGGUUGCAGAAAGUGUAAACUCGGCCCUCUCCGAUUGUACUCACACCGAGGAGCCAAUUAUAAUCCAGUGUAAUAUUCCUGCCUGCAGACUGGAUGUUAUGGUUUGUCAUGCCUGCAAAAUGAAAGAAUUCUUGACAAAGGUGAAAAAUUUGUGCCCACCUCUGCCAUGCAGGCCAAGAUAGAAUUGGGCCACUCAUAUACAGAUGGACACAGAGGAAGAAGAUCUGAAGGAGGAUCUAGACUGGGAGGACACUGAUGACUGCUGUGACUCACCAGUGAAAACUGGGGAGGAAGACACUCCAGAGAAUGUUACAUCACAAGACAGCUUUGUGAUAAAAACUAGGAAAGCUGUCCAGGAAAUAAUCAGAAACAAGGAUCAUGAAAUAACAGAAACUCUAUUCGAUGAAGUGAAGGGGUCCAAAUAUAAACUCCUGCAAUCUGAAUCCUCUUUUGAGAUCAAGGCUGUAGUGGCUUAGUUCAUUUGCUUAUUGAAGAGGCAAAGAGUCUGCAACAUUCAGACACUGUGAGUCCAAGAAAAGGAAGUGAGUACAAACUGUGUGCAAAAGGUGUGAAGAGCAGGAUCAAGACAUUUUUUGCAAAGCUGUUUGCCAAAACAUUGAUUCACCGUUUACUGGCACAGCUGAAGUGCAAAUACCUCCACAACUCUGAAGUUGAAAGCAGGCAUUCAGUAUACUAUAUCAUGGAUGAGGAUUUGCUUCUGUGUGAAACUGAGCUUGCGUUUCAAGAGCUUAAAGACAAUUUCCAGCAAGGGAACUCUGGUGAUCAUAAAACAACUCAGAGAUCUCUUCUACACUUACAUUAGGAAGGGGCAGGACAGUGACUAUUCUGGUUUUCUCCCGCUUUCCCCAAAACAAUUCAUCAGUUGGACACUCUUAAUUACCCCCAAAAGCUAAUUGGUUCAUGAUUACAAAAAUAGGGAAAAAAAUCAUUCAAUAAAAGUGUUUAAAUUUCA